GACGAACGCUGGCGGCGUGCCUAAUACAUGCAAGUAGAACGCACAGUUUAUACCGUAGCUUGCUACACCAUAGACUGUGAGUUGCGAACGGGUGAGUAACGCGUAGGUAACCUGCCUGGUAGCGGGGGAUAACUAUUGGAAACGAUAGCUAAUACCGCAUAAUAUUAAUUAUUGCAUGAUAAUUAAUUGAAAGGUGCAAUUGCACCACUACCAGAUGGACCUGCGUUGUAUUAGCUAGUAGGGGAGGUAACGGCUCACCUAGGCGACGAUACAUAGCCGACCUGAGGGGGGGUUCGGCACACUGGAACUGAGACACGGCCCAGACUCCUACGGGAGGUAGCAGUAGGGAAUCUUCGGCAAUGGACGAAAGUCUGACCGAGCAACGCCGCGUGAGUGAAGAAGGUUUUCGGAUCGUAAAGCUCUGUUGUAAGAGAAGAACGGGUGUGAGAGUGGAAAGUUCACACUGGGACGGUAUCUUACCAGAAAGGGACGGCUAACUACGU
rnacentral:rRNA from 1 species